rnacentral:rRNA from 1 species
CCUACGGGGGGCUGCAGUAAGGAAUAUUGGUCAAUGGACGCAAGUCUGAACCAGCCAUGCCGCGUGGAGGAUGAAGGUCCUCUGGAUUGUAAACUUCUUUUAUUUGGGAAGAAACUCCCGAUUUCCAUCGGGAUUGACGGUACCAGAUGAAUACGCACCGGCUAACUCCGUGCCAGCAGCCGCGGUAAUACGGAGGGUGCAAGCGUUAUCCGGUUUCACUGGGUUUUAGGUGUGCGGGGGUGGCAAGGUAGAAAUCUCCGAGCUUAACCCUGAAACUGCCAUUGAUACUAUUUGUCUUGAAUACGCUGGAGGUGAGCGGAAUAUGUCAUGUAGCGGUGAAAUGCGUAGAUAUGACAUAGAACACCCAUUGCGAAGGCAGCUCACUACGGAAAUAUUGACGCUGAGGCACGAAAGCGUGGGGAUCAAACAGGAUUAGAUACCCGUGUAGUC